UCAUCAGAUUAUAAAUGUUUACAAUCAGGAGUACGAAAGUGCAGCAGCAUUCUGGCCAGAUGUUCAUGGACGUAUAAUUUUCGCACUGUGCUUUUCUCAGUUAUCUUUACUAGGCUUGCUAAGUACAAAACAUGCUACUCAGUCAGCACCUUUCCUGAUUGCCCUUCCAGUGCUGACCAUCUCAUUUCACUUGUACUGCAAAGGUCGUUAUGAGCCAGCUUUCACCAAAUAUCCGAUACAGGAAGCAAGGAUGAGAGAUACUCUGGAACAAGCAAGGGAACCAAAUCUUAAUCUGAAGGGCUACCUUCAAAAUGCUUAUGUGCAUCCUGUUUUCAAAGACGACGAUGAAGAUGAGGAUGAAGACUUUAUGAUGAAACUGGAGAACGAUAGCGUUCUUGUCCCCACAAAACGCCAGUCAAGAAUGAAUACACCAGUUCCCAGCAAAGUCAGCGCUGGCUCAUCUCCAUCACUUCCUGAUGCAGUUACUCAUGAACAUUAAACAGCUUAGAAUGAUAGGUUGGAAUAUUUCACCUCCUUUGUGCAUGAGAGUUAGAUCGCGGAGACUCAACCUUAACUAAGUUGUACAGAGAGCACUUCAACACAUCAUAGUUGAGCUGGCUGGACCAGUUUACAUUGGGACGGUUGGCGUUGAAAGUACAAAAAAUUGUAAAGAGCUCCGGUGGUAGCAUUAGAAGUUUUGUACACUUAAGGAUGUUCAUAUUUUUAGCAUUUGCUGGUUGUUGACACUCAGGAUAUAAUCUUGUACACGAGCUUUCUAA
rnacentral:misc_RNA from 1 species